GGAAUAAGCCCCCGGCUAACUACGUGCCAGCAGCCGCGGUAAUACGUAGGGGGCAAGCGUGUUCGGAAUGACUGGGCGUAAAGGGUGCGUAGGCGGCUUGAUAAGUUAAAAGUGUAAUACCCAGGGCUCAACUCGGGUGCUGCUUUUAAAACUGUCGGGCUUGAGUGCAGUAGAGGAGUGUGGAAUUUCCGGUGUAGCGGUGGAAUGCGUAGAUAUCGGGAGGAACAUCUGUGGCGAAGGCGACACUCUGGACUGUAACUGACGCUGAGGCACGAAAGUGUGGGGAGCAAACAGGAUUAGAUACCCUGGUAGUCCACACCGUAAACGAUGGAUACUAGAUGUGGGAGGUAUCGACUCCUUCCGUGUCGCAGUUAACACUUUAAGUAUCCCGCCUGGGGAGUACGGCCGCAAGGUUGAAACUCAAAGAAAUUGACGGGGACCCGCACAAGCAGCGGAGCAUGUGGUUUAAUUCGAAGCAACGCGAAAAACCUUACCAAGACUUGACAUCCUGCGCCACACCCCCAAAAGGGUGCUUCCUUCGGGACGCAGAGACAGGUGUUGCAUGGUUGUCGUCAGCUCGUGUCGUGAGAUGUUAGGUUAAGUCCUGCAACGAGCGCAACCCUUAUCAUUAGUUGCCAAUAUUUAGUUAGGAACUCUAAUGAGACUGCCGUAGAUAAUACGGAGGAAGGUGGGGAUGACGUCAAAUCAUCAUGGCCCUUACGUCUUGGGCUACACACGUGCUACAAUGGCUAUAACAAAGAGCAGCAAACCCGUAAGGGGAAGCAAAUCUCAAAAAGAUAGUCUCAGUUCGGAUUGAGGGCUGAAACCCGCCCUCAUGAAGUCGGAGUUGCUAGUAAUCCCGAAUCAGCAUGUCGGGGUGAAUGCGUUCCCGGGUCUUGUACACACCGCCCGUCAAGCCAUGGGAGUCGGGAGUACCCAAAGCCGGUGAGCUAACCCGCAAGGGAGGCAGCCGUCUAAGGUAAGACUGAUGACUGGGGUU
rnacentral:rRNA from 1 species